AUUCCGGCACCGUCGACGCGAAGUGAACAUGAAGCACGGCAUACUUUUAGGCGUUGCCCACCUCCUCACCGUGGUGGGUUUGUUUAGCCCCAAAUUGGUCGAGGGGCAGCAGCCGAUUCUGCGAUGUGAAUAUGAUCAGCCUAAGGUCACAGUUGACGCGUACGGCGGCAGCAUUCUGACCUACUACUCAUGGAUGCCGUGCACUUUUGUGAUUAAAAAGAACCCUGCCAUGUGCCAGAUUUCAUGUCUUUUAAGACGGCGUCAGCAAAUACGUCCGGCAACUGUGAGGUGGACAAAUUAACAAUUAGUAACUCUGUCACGGUUAAAGAUGGCUUCUCCACGUGCGGUGAUCUCAGCGGACAGCAUACUAUAUUGUAGUGUAUCUCACAUUUGAUGAGGACUGUGAUGACCUAGAGGUCGCUUAUAAACCGUCUCCAACAUCUCCCUCGGGCACAUAUCAAAUGUUCGUAACACCAAUUCCCUGCUCAUCUCGGGAUCUGGUCCCGAGUCACUGCCUGCAACGUUUCAAUGGUAGCCGUGGAGUUGUGAGAUCGUUCGAUUAUCCCAUCCAACAGCAAAACAGUCAGAAGUACACGGUUUGCGUGGAGCCGGAGGGCGGAGUUAAGGAAAUCAUUGCAACAUUUUUUUAUAAAUUGAAAGAAUAAAAUUGGGAAACUUCGCGUAUUUUAGAAUGUGUAAAUUUUUAAUGCAGUGGAAACCUUGCGGUUCAGAGGAUGGGUAUCCGAGUAGUCCGCCCUUCAGUAUCACCACAAAUCUGGUCCCGCCAACCUCCUGUGACACGGAUUGGGUCGCGAUUAAUGGGGACAGGCCACGAUGCGACAAGUUCCCGAAAAAGGUCAGCUCUACUUGGAAACCGUUCCUGCUCAAUGUCAACUUUAACGAGGAAGAAAUCCCGCCAUCCGGAUUCGGAAAAAAUCCUGGAGAUGCUAAUGACGCAUCCUCUUGCGCUGAUGUGGGCCUAACUUCCAGCGGUAUUCUCCUCUGUGAGUGGUCUGAUGGCACUUGCCAAUGUGACAUAAAUCCAGCACUUGUGAUUCCGGGGAUAGACCCAAGUGUUUCCUUUGGACCUUCGCCGGACGUCGAAAACCUUGGUUUCUGCUUGAAAUAUGAUGUACAAAUUUAGGGAUUGGGGAGUGAAUAGAGCCAUGUUUUGCACAGAAGUACUUUAAGAUAUAUAAAAUUAAGCCGCAAAUAAAAUAAAAUUUUGAUGAAAUGCGA